rnacentral:rRNA from 1 species
UACGUAGAAGACUAGUGUUAUUCAUCUUUAGUAGGUUUAAAGGGUCCUAGACGGUAUAAUUAGUCUUUAAUAGGAAACGGUUAUACUAGAGUUAUAUAUGAGGAGGUGAGUAUUUGUGGAGUAGAGUUGAAAUUCUUUGAUACCAUGACGACUGGUAAAGGCGAAAGCAACCUUUUAUCUAAUAACUGACGUUGAGGGACGAAGGCU